GCAGCAGGCCGUUCCAUCGUCCCGGGUAUCCGGGAAGGAAAGUCCGGACAACACAGAGCACCAUCCUUCCUAACCGGAAGAUAUCCGUGAGGAUAUUGUAGUGUAACAGAAAAUAACCGCCCCCUGAGAUUAAUCGAAGGGGGUAAGGGUGAAAAGGCGGGGUAAAAGCUCACCGGUCCUGAUGGUGACACCAGGAGCCGUACACCUGAUGGGUUGAAAGACCAUGUAUACCGACGUUCAGGAUUGCUCGUCCGAUGCCGGGGGGUAGGUCGUACGAUCCCGCCAGCAAUGGCGGGACAAGAUAAAUGAUGGAAACCGGUUCAAUUAUCUCUUGCAGAUGCAUGAACCGGGACAGAAUCCGGCUUACAGGCCGGCUGCAAAA
rnacentral:RNase_P_RNA from 2 species